CCUAGGGGGGGCUGCAGUGGAGAAUAUUGGACAAUGGGCGAAAGCCUGAUCCAGCCAUGCCGCGUGUGUGAAGAAGGCCUUCGGGUUGUAAAGCACUUUCAGUGGGGAAGAAAGCCUUGGGGCUAAUACCCUCGAGGAAGGACAUCACCCACAGAAGAAGCACCGGCUAACUCCGUGCCAGCAGCCGCGGUAAUACGGAGGGUGCGAGCGUUAAUCGGAAUUACUGGGCGUAAAGCGCGCGUAGGCGGUCUGAUAAGCCGGUUGUGAAAGCCCCGGGCUCAACCUGGGAACGGCAUCCGGAACUGUCAGGCUAGAGUGCAGGAGAGGAAGGUAGAAUUCCCGGUGUAGCGGUGAAAUGCGUAGAGAUCGGGAGGAAUACCAGUGGCGAAGGCGGCCUUCUGGACUGACACUGACGCUGAGGUGCGAAAGCGUGGGUAGCAAACAGGAUUAGAUACCCUAGUAGUC
rnacentral:rRNA from 1 species